rnacentral:misc_RNA from 1 species
UCUCCGUAGGUGAACCUGCGGAGGGAUCAUUACAGAGUUCAUGCCCUACCGGGUAGAUCUCCCACCCUAUGUUAUUAUUACUUUGUUGCUUUGGCGGGCCGUUAGGCUCCGGCCCGACUACCGGCCCCGGCUGGUAAGCGCGCGCCAGUGGAACCAAAACCCUGAAUAUUAGUGUCGUCUGAGUACUAUAUAAUAGUUAAAACUUUCAACAACGGAUCUCUUGGUUCUG